rnacentral:lncRNA from 1 species
GACCCAAGGACCUUUCUAGCGACUGCCGCUCUGAGGCUGAGGUGGGGUGACACCGCCGAGGACCGUUGCAUUUACGAGAUGUUUUAUCUUUAUGACAAAGGAGCAAAUAGGGCCGUAGAUGUGAUAAGAAGAGAGGCGCCAUCUGGAAAGCUUUCGUUCUGUCAUUUGGCUGGCCGAGUUGCUGAAGCGGCAGAACCCACUAGCCUCUGAGGACAUAGGCGCACCUCUGGGCAUGGCAGGGCCAGACGCCCCACCAUCGCCUCCUGGUCUCGCAAGCUGCAGAUGAGGCCUCCCGGGACAGCAGUGACCUUUCGGCACAGCGGACAGGGGAUGGACCAGGUGUCUUCCUGCACAUAUAGCAGAAGCUUCAGGCAUACGGCACAGAAGUGCUGGGGCUCAAAACCAAGGCCUCAUGUGCCUGGAUUGUACCUAGCCCCCCACCCAUCCCCCCAGUUCACAGUAAGUCAAGUCAAAUUGGAUUCCUGUUUCCUGCAAGUGAGAAACAUCUGGACAAUACCCUAGUAGCUGGGGGAAAGCAGCCUUGGCUCUCUGAGUGGGUGAGAUUCCAUAAGCUAGCACAUACACAGCCCAGGGUGACACAGUGUGUCACUGUAAGACACUAGCUUCUCCUGUCUUAGUCUUAUGUAUUGUUCCUUUCUGUUCACUGGGUCUAGGGAGGGUUGAGGGGGUGGGAGGAGAAGCUUGUUCAGCCACAUGCAUUUAUUAUAUAAUAAAUAUAUAUAAUAAAAUUAAAAAUAUCAGAGGGACAUGAGAUGGCCAGUGUCUUCUCUCUUGCAUCUCCCAUCUACGGUGAGUAGUAGCUCAGUUGAUAGAGUGUUUGCCUGGCAUGCAAGAAACCCUGGGUUCAAUCCCCGGCAUGGCACAAAUCAGGCAUGGUGGGGGCAUGGUGACAUGCACCUGUAAACCCAGUAGAGAUUGGGAGAGUCAGGAGUUCAAGGUCAUCUUGACUACACAGUGAGUUCAUGGCCAGAUGAGAUCCGUGAAACCCUGUCUCAGAAUAUGAAGGGAGGCAGAGAGAUCGCCCAGUGGGUGAAAGAAUUUGACAUGCAAGCCCAACGACCCACGUUUGAUCCUUAGAACCCAUGUAAAACAUCAAUUUAUUUGUCUGUAAUCUCUGCACCUCAUCCUGAGACGGUGGCAACAGGAGAACCAUCCAGAAGCCUGAGGGCCAGCUAGACUACAGUUCAAAGCUUCAACGAUAGAAGCAGCAAGAAGGACCCUGCCUCAGCAAGAUGGAAGGAAAGAGCCAACUCCCCAAAGUUGUCCUUAGACCUUCAGGUCCUCCCCAUGUAGGCUAGCCUUGAGUGCAAUCCUCCUGCCUCACCCUUCCAGCUUUUUGGUUACAAGUGUGGGAUUCACAAUUCUGUUUCACGGAAGCCGCCUGACCUAAGGAUCGUUGGCACCAACUUCCUAGUUGGAAAUCUGACUCCUGUCGAUUUACUGCGUGAGGUCUGGCGAGACUUUCAACCUCACCCAAGCUUGAUUUGAUAGAAAGGGGACAAUAACACUUCAGAAAAUUAUGGAAGUCCACCAUCCUCAUUGGAACCCGUCCUGAGGAGGCACGGGAACCAGGGCGCUCUGGUGACUGAUCUGGGUGAGGCUCCAGUCUCUCCUAGGGACUUGAGAAGAUCAGAGGUGAUCCGCUAGGGCUUCUGAAAGAGAAGUGACUCUGGCGGUUUGGGCACGUUGUCCUGAAGUCAUCUAUCCCAGGGGAAGUGUGGACCACUCCUGAAGACUGACCACGCCCCACAUAUUUGGAUUUCGCCUUCUACCAUGUGCUGCUGUGUGUUUGCUGCGGUGCUAGAAUCUUUCCAACACUCCAGGUCAAACUUUUGUUUGUUUGUUUAUUGCUGUACAAAUACAAACAUCAAUUUUCAGCAAAGCUUGUGGUUUUUGCUUGGAGCUGCAGACUCUUCCAUCCCGAGGCUUCCCACAGCCGGAGGGUGGUUCAGACAUUGAAGCAAACUAAGAAUGGAAACCAAGAGCCAGCAGUUAAAGGGGACUUCCCUGGAACUCACUCUGCUGAGGUCGCCUGGCCUGGCACUUCCACCUGAGCUUCAGGUCCUGUGGGAAAGCAUUUGAGAUAGCAACGAUCAUAUUAAGCCUACCAGAGAGCCCUGCCCUGGCCAGCUACCGAUGCACGCAUGCGCGCACUCACGUUUCUUACCUUCCGGCCAUCUGUGGCCUUCUCUCACAUUUUAUGUCUUGAAAUUCUCUGCUCUGUGCUUUU